rnacentral:rRNA from 1 species
UUAAUAAAAUUUUAUUAAUAAAAUUAUUUAUUAUAGGCAUUAAAUAAAAUAAUUGAGUAAUUAGUUUUAGUAUGUUAUGGAAUAAUAUUUUUAUAAUAGUUUAAAUUUACUGUGAAGGAAUAAUGAAAUAUUAUAUUAAAUAUUGUUUAAGAAAUUUUAUUUUAAUGUACCUUUUGUAUCAGGGUUUAUUAAUUUAUAAUUAUUUAUUUAUUAUUCUCGAUUUUGUAAGAGUUAAUAAAUUAUUUUAGUUUUAGUAAUAUAUAAAUUAAUAAUAUUUAUUGGAAUCUAUAAGUUAUUUCGUUUACAAUGGUAUCUAGUUAUUCAAGAAUUAAAUUUAAUUUAUAGUUUUUAAAAGUUAUUAUUUUUAUAAUAAAAAUAAUAACCUUUAAAAAUUUCUAUUUUACGGGAUGAGCUGUAAAAUAAUUUUUUAAUAUAAUAUAUUUAAAAAUUUAGUAAGCUUAGAAUUAGUUAUCUUUUAUGAAUAUGUUAUAAUUUAAUUUAAUUUAUAAUAAAUUUAUUAAUAUUAAAAUUUUUUAUUGAAUUAUUUUAUUUAAUAAUUUAAUUUAAGUAAUAAUGAUAAAAUUAGUAUAUAUAUAUAUAUAUAUAUAUCUAUAUAUAAUAAGUUAAUUUAAUUAUAUGAAUUCGGCAAUAAUAAUCUUUGCCUGUUUAUCAAAAACAUGUCCUUUUUUUAUAUUUUAAGGUUUAACCUGCCCACUGAUAAAUUUAAGGGCCGCAGUAUAUUAACUGUGCAAAGGUAGCGUAAUCAUUUGUCUUUUUAUUGGAGGCUUGUAUGAAAGGUUGGACAAGGGAUUAACUUUAUUUAAUUAAAUAUUUAAAAUUUUAUUUUUUAGUGAAAAAGCUAAAAUUUAUUUAUUAGACGAGAAGACCCUAUGAAUCUUUAUAUUUUAAAGUUUAUUUUUAUAAUGAAAAUUUUAAAGUUAAGCAUUUAUUAUAUUUUAUUGGGGUGAUAUAAAAAUUUACAUAACUUUUUAUAAAUUUACAAUAAUAUUUGGAAAAUUUUUGAUCCUAUAAUUUGGAUAAUAAGAAUAAGUUACUCUAGGGAUAACAGCGUAAUUAUUUUGGAGAGUUCUUAUCGAUAAAAUAGAUUGCGACCUCGAUGUUGGAUUAAGAUAAAAAAUAGGUGCAGAAAUCUAUUAUAUUAAGUCUGUUCGACUUUUAAUUUCUUACAUGAUCUGAGUUCAGACCGGCGUAAGCCAGGUUGGUUUCUAUCUUUAAUUUGUAUAGAAUAAUUUAGUACGAAAGGACCAAUUAUUUAAUUUAUUAAUUUUAAAAUUAGAAUGAUAAUAAUAAU